rnacentral:snoRNA from 1 species
CAGUCUCCUACCUCGCUCGCUCCGUUGCCCCCAUCAACAGAACUAGAGCUGGAUACGCUACCUACGGGUAUCGUACGAGACCAGAGCAAUCUAAACCCCCCGACGAUCAUUGAGUACGGAACCGCCCGUUGUCAGAUAGCGGAUUUUCGUAAUUUAUCAGUCGAGACAUGC